GACGAACGCUGGCGGCGUGCCUAAUACAUGCAAGUCGAACGCAGUGGGGACGGGUGAGUAACACGUGGGUAACCUCCCAUCAGAGGGGAUAACACUUGGAAACAGGUGCUAAACCGAUACUGAUGGAUGGACCCGCGGUGCAUUAGCUAGUUGGUGAGGUAACGGCUCACCAAGGCCACGAUGCAUAGCCGACCUGAGAGGGUGGUCGGCCAAACCGGAACGGAGACACGGCCCAGACUCCUACGGGAGGCAGGAGUGGGGAAGCUGCGGCAAUGGACUAAAGGCUGACCGAGCAACGCCGCGUGAGUGAAGAAGGGUUGCGGAUCGUAAAACUCUGUUGGUAGAGUAGCGGUAUCUAACCAGAAAGCCACGGCUAACUACGUGCCAGCCGCCGCGGUAAUUC
rnacentral:rRNA from 1 species